GACGAACGCUGGCGGCGUGCCUAAUACAUGCAAGUAGAACGCUGAAGACUUUAGCUUGCUAAAGUUGGAAGAGUUGCGAACGGGUGAGUAACGCGUAGGUAACCUGCCUACUAGCGGGGAUAACUAUUGGAAAAGAUAGCUAAUACCGCAUAACAGCAUUUAACCCAUGUUAGAUGCUUGAAAGGAGCAAUUGCUUCACUAGUAGAUGGAUCUGCGUUGUACUAGCUAGUUGGUGAGGUAACGGCUCACCAAGGCGACGAUACAUAGCCGACCUGAGAGGGUGAUCGGCCACACUGGGACUGGGACACGGCCCAGACUCCUACGGGAGGCAGCAGUAGGGAAUCUUCGGCAAUGGGGGCAACCCUGACCGAGCAACGCCGCGUGAGUGAAGAAGGUUUUCGGAUCGUAAAGCUCUGUUGUAAGAGAAGAACGUGUGUGAGAGUGGAAAGUUCACACAGUGACGGUAACUCACCAGAAAGGGACGGCUAACUACGUGCCAGCAGCCGCGGUAACAC
rnacentral:rRNA from 1 species